AUGUCUGGAGGGCCACUGCACGCGUGGAACAAAUGGGCAAUUCAAAUCCUCGUACUGCUCAGCUUCGGUCUGCAAAUCCUCCUCUUUAUCCUUGCCUCUACCAGGCGGCACAGAUCCUCCACCCGGCUGCAGAUCUUCCUGAGGCUGAUCCUUUGGCUCGCCUAUCUCAUGGCCGACUCCACCGCCGUAUACACUCUUGGCCAUCUUUCCAUGAGUGGUUGGUUACCCGAGCAUCAGCUCGUGGCAUUCUGGGCGCCCUUUCUCCUCCUACAUCUUGGUAGCCAGGACAACAUCACUGCGUACGCCCUUGAGGACAACCAGCUCUGGCCACGCCACCUGCUAACUCUUGGCGUCCAAACCGUUGGGGUUUGUUAUGUCUUGUAUAAACAUAUGACCCAUGAACCAGCCAUGGUGGUAGCAGCCAGCUUGAUGUUCAUUGUUGGUUUCCUCAAGUACUUGGAGAGGACAUGGGCCCUCAAGCGCGCCACUCUUGAUAACAUCCGAAGCUCGAUCAAGGCUCAACCCUCUAGGGAUGUGCCGGUUGGGUCAAAGGAUAGUACAAGAGAUAUAGAUGAAGAAGAGCUUUUGUUGUUUGCUCACCAUGUGCUCCCUACUUGCAUGGCUGCGCUGACUGAUUAUUCCGAGGAUUCAGGUAAAGUUUCUGAAAAUUGGAGAGGGCAGCAUAUCGGCAAGGUAGUUGAGUUGGAGCUCUCCCUCAUGUAUGACAUCCUCUACACCAAGGCAACCAUGAUUCACCAUUGGUAUGGCUACUUUCUCCGUGUCAUCUCACCGCUCGCCACUAUUGUUGCAUUCUUGUUGUUUCAUUUCUAUGGUAAACAAGGACAGUCCAAAAUAGAUGUUAUCAUCACGUACAUCUUGUUUGGUGGUGCACUGCUUCUGGACAUGGUAUCAUUAGUCAAGGCUGCAUUUUCUACAUGGACAUGUGAUUUACUGGACAAUAAAGGAGGAUGGGGUGCGACGCUUUGUAAGCGACUUCAGUCUUCUCGUCGCCUUGUCAAGGCAGCAGCCUGUAGGCCGAUAUGCUCUAGAGGUUGGUCAGGAUCCAUCGGGCAGUAUAAUUUGUUUGACGUGUGCUGUCGUGAUAUGGCAAAGAGAAGCAUCAGAGUGUUAAAGAAGAUAAAGCUUGAUGAUUGGUGGAAGAGAUAUCAGUACAAGGGGACCCUGGUGAUUCAGAGUGAUGUGAAGAAGUUGUUGUUUCAACGGAUAUGGCAGUUGAUUCUGAAAAAUGAUGAUCUCUCUGGGAUGUUCAAUGUGAAAUCCGCACAUGGUAAAAAUAUUGAACUUCAGGAAGUGGUUUUUAUAUGGCACAUGGCCACCAACAUUUUCCUCUCGUAUCUCCAAGGAGCAAAGGUAGAACCCCAAUGUGUGAACACCAUCAAGGCCAUCAAGGCCCUGUCAAAUUACAUGAUGUUUCUUGCCGUGGCACGCCACGACAUGCUACCAGCCCUUAAGCUCCGCAGCAUGUGCGAGAAGACUAGCAAUGAUUUGGAGGAAAUAUGGAGUGCAGCGGGUCCUGAAGGAAGGAAGGCAGGGUUUGUAGGCAUACUGGAUGGGCUGACCUUCAUGAAGAAGACUGGACCCUUCUUCUUGUAUGAUAAGCGCGACUAUGGAACCGUGUUUGCCCGGCAACUGGAACGUGCGAUAGGAGGUCAGACUUUGCGUGCAAGAAUUGCUAUGGACCAUGAGAGCAGACGCAUGUUUGGGCAUAUACUGCCUAACUUUGGCGGACACGAAACUCCAGUGGGAGUGGAGAAAGUGUUGGACCUCGUCUUGGAUGGAUGGGUGCGUAUGCUGGUCGCUGCGUCAAUCAAAAGCAGCAGGGAGUCCCAUGCCAAGCAGCUCAGCCACGGCGGAGAGCUCAUAACCAUCGCGUGGAUCAUGACGGAGCACUUCCAAAGGCGUGUGCCUCGGUGA
rnacentral:rRNA from 1 species